rnacentral:lncRNA from 1 species
AAUUAGUUAACAGUGGGGAGCAAUUAAUCAGGAGCUAUGUGAUUCUCACCAGAGGGAAGACGUGGAAUCUGAAGCCGCUUCUGGCCAGGCUGGGUUGCCUUUCUCCAUGUUUAAGGCUCUCAGUGCUUUAGAAUCAUUGAUCAGCAAUUGGAUCCAUGGUGCUACCCAGAUCCCUCAGAAGGCCUAUCCCUGCCUGGUGGAUUUUCAGUUGGAAUAAAAUAAGAUGACAUGAAAGUACAGAGACGAUGGAUGGCUUGAGCUGAUGGGCAGCAUUUGGAAUUGGGUUUUGUUUUCUUCAAGAACUGUGGUGUCAUUUUUCUUCGUCUUUUCCUGUCUUUGCUGAUUCUGUCUAGGGGAUGUCUUUUAAUGUGAAAAACUGAGUAAUCGCUUCAUAAGAAGUCCUGAGAAAACAACUCCUGGAUUCCAACUUAUCUUCAGUGCCCAUAACCUUCCCCCACAGAGUAAAGGGCUUAUUUUUAUUCAAUUAGGCCUCAAUUAUGUUCCAAGAAAUCAGUCUCCAGACUAAAUGGGAGCAAGUAGCAGGUAAUAAACAAACAAGACACA